rnacentral:rRNA from 1 species
AACGAACGCUGGCGGCGCGUCUUAAGCAUGCAAGUCGGACGGCAAGGGUAGCAAUACCCCUAGAGUGGCGGACUGGUGAGUAACGCGUGGGUGACCUACCCUUGAGUUGGGGAUAGCCAUUAGAAAUAGUGGAUAAUACCGAAUACGAUUGCCGGACUAUGGUUUGGUAAUGAAAGGAGCUACGGCUCCGCUCGAGGAUGGGCCCGCGUCCCAUUAGCUAGUUGGUGAGGUAACGGCCCACCAAGGCGACGAUGGGUAUCCGGCCUGAGAGGGUGUACGGACACAUUGGGGACUGAGAUACGGCCCAAACUCCUACGGGAGGCAGCAGCUAAGAUAUUCCGCAAUGGACGAAAGUCUGACGGAGCGACGCCGCGUGGAUGAAGAAGGCCGAAAGGUUGUAAACUGCUUUUGUACGGAACGAAACGGUUCAGAUUAAUACUCUGAACUAAUGACGGUACCGUAAGAAUAAGCACCGGCUAACUACGUG